UACAGGGGGGGCAAGCGUUGUUCGGAAUUACUGGGCGUAAAGGGCUUGUAGGCGGCCAACUAAGUCACACGUGAAAUCCCCAGGCUCAACCUGGGAACUGCGUGUGAUACUGGAUGGCUUGAAUUCGGGAGAGGGAUGCAGAAUUCCAGGUGUAGCGGUGAAAUGCGUAGAUAUCUGGAGGAAUACCGGUGGCGAAGGCGGCAUCCUGGACCGACAUUGACGCUGAGGAGCGAAAGCUAGGGGAGCAAACGGG
rnacentral:rRNA from 1 species